rnacentral:lncRNA from 1 species
AGCCGACCAUAUCGCUUCGAUUCUGAACCUUUACAGGAAGGUAACUGGGCAGGAUGGUAACUGGCCAGGAACCUUACAAUAAUGUUGACGAAGAAAGUCGAAGGAGUAUUAUUGUCGUGAACGUUUCCGUCCGCCACCCUGAUGGCUCGAAGAUUUGGAGUCGCCACCAAUCACUUUGAAGAGGAUUGGACGCUUUUGAUGUAGCCCGAGUCCUUUUGGAAGCGGGUUUCAUCAGGUCUGUGAAACGGGGGCUUCAUAUUUAGGAGGCGGUUACGUGCGGGAAAAGAUUAGCACCCAUGCAAUGCCCGAUAAACCGG